GGAAACCCUAAAGCUCCAAACCCCUCAAACCAUGGCUGCCCUUCCCAUUUUCUUCAUCAUCACCACCAGACGACCCUUCCAUUGAAUCACCCUACAUCAUCGUCUUCCGCACAAACGACGACCCUACUGUCUAAACAAAUAGCCUCAUCUCCAUUGUUGAACCAGCAACCCCAUCGUCCGUCGACCACCCUUUCUGCUCCGUCUUCUUCGCCUUCAUUCAUUGCCCAAACCAGCGUCGACCAGCCAAAACCCCGCCUCUCAUUUUCCAGCUCAACCAGCAAACAACCACUGCCGCCUGCACCAUCUUCUUCUCCAGCUCGAUCAGCUGACUACUUUCAGUCCAAAACUGAAAACACAUCGAGAACAGUAAAGAAAACUAAAGUAGGUAAAAGAUGAAAACAUUACGAAUCGAAAAGCUCAUUUCCAGUUCUUUUCCGGUGAGGUUUCCGGGCUGUUGAGGUUCGAAGGACGUUCUGUCCGUUGCAUUCCCCGUCGACAACUGUCAAGAUCUCUUUUCUUUUUCAGACGGAUGUUGUUCCCGUUCGAGUUCAUUGUAUCUCUGAUCCGAUCAGUUGGUCUAAGUUCCAUUUCUG
rnacentral:lncRNA from 1 species